rnacentral:rRNA from 1 species
AUGAACGCUGGCGGCGUGCCUAACACAUGCAAGUCGAACGGAGAUUAGACGCUGCAGAGAUUCGGUCAAAGCUUGUUAAUCUUAGUGGCGGACGGGUGAGUAACGCGUGGGCAACCUGCCUCAUACUGGGGGAUAGCAGUUGGAAACGACUGAUAAUACCGCAUAAGCGCACGGUACCGCAUGGUACAGUGUGAAAAAACUCCGGUGGUAUGAGAUGGGCCCGCGUCAGAUUAGCUAGUUGGUGAGGUAACGGCCCACCAAGGCGACGAUCUGUAGCCGGCCUGAGAGGGCGGACGGCCACAUUGGGACUGAGACACGGCCCAAACUCCUACGGGAGGCAGCAGUGGGGGAUAUUGCACAAUGGAGGAAACUCUGAUGCAGCGACGCCGCGUGAGUGAAGAAGUAUUUCGGUAUGUAAAGCUCUAUCAGCAGGGAAGAAAGGCUCGAAAGAGAGAUGACGGUACCUGACUAAGAAGCCCCGGCUAACUACGUGCCAGCAGCGGC